ACGGAGGGGUCCCGCGGUAGUCGGAAUGAAAGGGCGUAAAGCGCGCGCAGGUGGUGCGAUAAGUGGCAGGUGAAAUCCCUCGGCUUAACCGGGGAACGGCCUGCCAAACUGUCGCGCUUGAGGCUGGGAGGGGAGAGCGGAAUUCCUGGUGUAGCGGUGAAAUGCGUAGAUACCAGGAGGAACACCGGUGGCGAAGGCGGCUCUCUGGACCAGUUCUGACACUCAUGCGCGAAAGCGUGGGUAGCAAACAG
rnacentral:rRNA from 1 species